rnacentral:rRNA from 1 species
GCUAGCUUACCAUUUUUCAACUCAACAACAUAAAUAAAAUAAAAUAAGCCAAACACUAAAAAUUAAACCAUUCUUUUACCUUAGUAUGGGAGACAGAAAAGGUUCCACUAAGCGAUAGAAAUAGUACCGCAAGGGAAAGCUGAAAGAGAAAUGAAACAACCCAUACAAGCACUAAAAAGCAAAGAUUAAACCCUGUACCUUUUGCAUCAUGAUUUAGCCAGUACAUCCAAGCAAAGAGAACUUUAGUUUGAAAUCCCGAAACCAGGUGAGCUACCCCGAGACAGCCUAUUAGGGCCAACCCGUCUCUGUGGCAAAAGAGUGGGAAGAGCUCCGGGUAGAAGUGACAGACUUACCGAACCUGGUGAUAGCUGGUUGCCUAAGAAAUGAAUAGAAGUUCAGCCUCAUAAACCUCAAAUCAACCAGUAAUAAGAUUUUUAGAGAAAAAUAUGAGAGUUAGUUAAAGGGGGUACAGCCCCUUUAACAAAGGAUACAACCUUCUCAGGAGGAUAAAGAUCAUAAUAUGUAAAAUAUACUGUUCUAGUGGGCCUAAAAGCAGCCAUCUAAACAGAAAGCGUUAAAGCUCAGACAGAAAAAAAUUUAUUAUACCGAUAAAAAAUUCUUACUCCCCUUAAUAUUAUUAGGCCAAUCCAUGCCCACAUGGAAGAGAUUAUGCUAAAAUGAGUAACAAGAAGGCCCGCCCUUCUCCCAAGCACAAGUGUAAGCCAAACCGGACAAUCCAUUGGCAAAUAACGAACUCAACCAAAGAGAGCAAUGUGGAAUAUAAAAAAACCAAGAAAACCCCACAACCCAACUAUCGUUACCCCCACACUGGAAUGCUACAUUAAAGGAAAGACUAAAAGAAAAGGAAGGAACUCGGCAAACACAAGCCUCGCCUGUUUACCAAAAACAUCGCCUCCUGCAACAUAACCAAGUAUAAGAGGUCCAGCCUGCCCAGUGACCGCAAGUUUAACGGCCGCGGUAUUUUGACCGUGCAAAGGUAGCGCAAUCACUUGUCUUUUAAAUAAAGACCUGUAUGAAUGGCUAAACGAGGGCUUAACUGUCUCCCAUUUCAAGUCAGUGAAAUUGAUCUGCCCGUGCAGAAGCGAC